rnacentral:lncRNA from 1 species
AUUAAUUGCGGUUAACAAAAAAUCAGAUCACAAUUAUAAAGCAACGGAAAAUAGCAGGCACAGUUCAAAAUGUGAAGAUUCAAAAUAGCAUUGCACAAAUCGAAAAAAAUCAAAAUCCAGAAAAUUUAGAUGUGAAGAUUUCUUUUCGAAAUCAUAACAAUUUUACCAAGAUAAAUCCAUUUACUCUCUUGAAGAAAGAAAAUCUAGCUAACAGAGAUUUGAGAAGAACCGAAGCCAAGUAAGAUAACAGAGAGAGCCGACGAACUGAAGAGAAUCGACGAGAUAGCGGGAAAAUAACUAGCGGGGAGAGUGGCCAAGGAUGUGGCUAGUUUUCGAUACCAUGUAAAGAAUGAUAGAAGAUAUAUAAUAGAGGAGAAUAUCAAUAGAGGAGAGAGUCG